UGGGGAAUAUUGCACAAUGGGGGAAACCCUGAUGCAGCGACGCCGCGUGAACGAAGAAGGUAUUCGUAUCGUAAAGUUCUGUCCUAUGGGAAGAUAAUGACAGUACCAUAGAAGAAAGCUCCGGCUAAAUACGUGCCAGCAGCCGCGGUAAUACGUAUGGAGCGAGCGUUGUCCGGAAUUAUUGGGCGUAAAGGGUACGCAGGCGGUUUAAUAAGUCGAAUGUUAAAGAUCGGGGCUCAACCCCGCAAAGCAGUGGAAACUGAUAAACUUGAGUAGUGGAGAGGAAAGUGGAAUUCCUAGUGUAGUGGUGAAAUACGUAGAUAUUAGGAGGAAUACCAGUAGCGAAGGCGACUUUCUAGACACAAACUGACGCUGAGGUACGAAAGCGUGGGGAGCAAACAGG
rnacentral:rRNA from 1 species